rnacentral:sRNA from 1 species
GACAGGCACAGUGGCCAUGCCUGUAAUCCCAGUGGCUCAGGAGGCUGAGGCAGGAGGAUCACUAGUUCAAAGCCAGCCUCAGCAAAAGCGAGGUGCUAAACAACUCAGUGAGACCCUGUCUCUA